CUGCCUCAAGAGGUAGCCACCGAAUCUCAGAAAAAGAAAAAUGACCUUGAGACUUGAGACGGCAUAACCUGGUGGUCCUGACCCUCUAUGGUGAUUGCAGACAGAGAUCUGCGUCGUUGACAACAAAGAGAUUAAAGGAGAGACCUUGGGAAAUAAUCUUAGAGUGAGAGGACAUAAUUUUCUACUUCCAAUUUCCCCUUCUGGCUAAGAUAAAAUGGAUAAAUGGAUAACCUGUUUGAUGUCUUGACAAGCACCCUGCUAUGAGUAUAUUAU